rnacentral:rRNA from 1 species
UACAGGGGGCGCAAGCGUUGCUCGGAAUCACUGGGCGUAAAGCGUACGCAGGCGGACCGGCAAGUCGGGUGUGAAAGCCCGGGGCUCAACCCCGGAAUUGCAUUCGAAACUACCGGUCUUGAGUACGGGAGAGGUGAGUGGAAUUCCUGGUGUAGAGGUGAAAUUCGUAGAUAUCAGGAGGAACACCGGUGGCGAAAGCGGCUCACUGGCCCGAUACUGACGCUCAUGUACGAAAGCGUGGGGAGCAAACAGG